rnacentral:rRNA from 1 species
AUUGAACGCUAGCGGGAUGCUUUACACAUGCAAGUCGCACGAGUGGCGGACGGGUGAGCUAUAUAUCGGAACGUGCCCAGCAGCGGGGGAUAAAUACUCGACAGAGUGGCUAAUAUCGCAUACUAUUGGUGCGGCAGAUAUCGGAUUAGCUAGUUGGUGGGGUAAAGGCUCACCAAGGCAACGAUCCGUAGCUGGUUUGAGAGGACGAACAGCCACACUGGGAUGGAGCCACGGCCCAGACUCCUACGGGAGGCAGCAGUGGGGAAUUUUGGACAAUGGGUGAAACCCUGAUCCAGCCAUCCCGCGUGUAUGAGAAGGCCUUCGGGUUGGAAAGUACUUUUGGCAGAGAAGCGGUAUCUGCAGAAUAAUCACCGGCUAACUACGUGCCAGCCGCCGCGGUAAUAC